rnacentral:lncRNA from 1 species
CACGGUGCAUCGCGGUUCAGCUUAAUCGAACUCCCUCAAUGAAGUGUAUCACCCAAUCGGUGCUCAUAUAUUUUCAGCCUCCUUCAAGAGUUUGUCCAAUCAGACCUGUCAAAUUUAGUAUCCAGUCUCGGUAGCCUGGUCAUCCAAUGAAAAUCCAAUAUCCUUCACGUUGCUUGCUUCCCCGGACGGAUACCGCGAGAGUAGGCUAGGCCGCAGUUCGUCUGUAUUGCGGUGAGUGCAACUGUUCGAGCGGCGCCUUCUCGCCAAUUCAUUCAACUCCAGCAACCCAUAAAACAGAGGACAGGAGGCGGUCUGCGCUUUUACAUUGAACGGAGGACGACCACCUCUUUCUACGGCUCUGCAAGCUUCCCUUUUAAAUUGCGACACAUACUAGCUCUGACACCUGCUCGUAGGACAUUGAAACUUUGGCAAAGAGCUGCAUCACGCCACUGACCGCCCAGAGACUCAGUAAGUUGAAAAGAGUGUAGUUCACCACACCUUUACGUGAUUUGUGACUCUCUAUAAUCAGCAUUUGAAAAAGAAACUCCAGCACACUGGUAUUCUAGAAUACUCCACAGACAAUUCAGGCUUUUUGGACUGUUCAUUGGUUAAGGUCGCUGUCACUACUCUAAGGCUGACCUGUGGAGUCCGACUUCCGACAUUGUGGGAUUUAGAUUUUUCUGACUUUUCAGAUUGUUCGUCCUUACCCAACUUGUGCCUGACAGACACAACUUUAAGCUUGUAGAUCAAUUGGAGCAGCUGCAGUUUAUUUGUUUUCAAAUAAAGUAUGACUAGCUGCUAGGGUUUGUUCAGUAUGAGACCUGGGUAGGUGUGGCUCUGUCCGGGCCUUUGAGUGACAUGGCUUGACAUUGGCACCAAGAGGACACAAUCAUCAAUCUUCAACUCGGCAACAAGACCCAGUCCCUUCAACAGUUAAAUCCAUGAAUAUGUAAAAAGGCAGACCAUAUGAAUAUCAUAUCCCUGUGUUGGGUAACCCAAUAGCUUUAAGGCUGCCUUAUUGAAAGUGACACUACAACCAACCCGGGUUGUGUUUCCGAUGCCCGACACAUUAAUAAUUAAGGUUGCCCAUAUGACCACCGCAACUAUGAGCUCCGUAUCAUAAAACGGCAGUGUGCGUU